AUGUACUCAGCGUAGCUAGAUUAAUUUCAAUUAAAUAUCUACUCACACCUUGUACAUAACUUUUGUAAACGAUUUUGGAUGCUGGCGUGUGUCGGAGAACUUUAAUAACUCAAUCGCAUCACUCCAUAAAGAAUCGUACAUUU
rnacentral:snoRNA from 1 species